GCCUUCGUGGUGUAAUGGUGAGCCCACUGAGUCGGUAUUUCAGAGGUCCGUGGUUCGAUCCCCGGCGAAGGCA
rfam:Stegodyphus mimosarum contig117934, whole genome shotgun sequence.